CAGAGUCGUAAAAAACUCCCAACCCUAUGUGAACUUACCAUUGUUGCCUCGGCGGACCUACCCUGUAGCUACCCUGUAGCUGCCUGGCAGUUCCGCCGGUGGACCACUAAACUAUUGUUAUUUAUGGAUAUCUGAGCGUUUUAAACAAAUAAGUUAAAACUUUCAACAACGGAUCUCUUGGUUCUGGCAUCGAUGAAGAACGCAGCGAAAUGCGAUAAGUAAUGUGAAUUGCAGAAUUCAGUGAAUCAUCGAAUCUUUGAACGCACAUUGCGCCCAUUAGUAUUCUAUUGGGCAUGCCUGUUCGAGCGUCAUUUUGACCACUUAAGCCUGGCUUAGUGUUGGGAAUCUACGUCUGUAGUUCCUUAAAUCUAGUGGCGGAGCCGCAGUGGCCUCUGAGCGUAGUAAUUUUUUCUCGCUUCUGAAAGUACUGUAGUUUUUGCCAUUAAACCCCCAAUUUUUU
rnacentral:misc_RNA from 1 species